AUGUCGGAGCAUUCUGAGAGCAAGGCUGAAAAGCUCAUGGGCAACAUCAUGGAUACUAUUGCUGACAGGCUCCCCAAGCAGAAGUCUGACAAUAUCAUGAGCAACAUCAUGGAUACCAUUUCUGACAAGCUCCCUAAGCAGAGGUCUGGCCGUUUCGAUCCAGGCUCAGUCGCUGAUGUGAAGAACAAGAUGUUUGGUCGUCAGAGGUCCCUCCAUGGAGUUUUGGGUGGCGGAAAGUCUGCUGAUGUGUUGUUAUGGAGGAACAAGAAGAUAUCUUCCAGUGUUUUGGGUCUCGCAACAGCUAUCUGGGUUUUCUUCGAGUGGCUUGAUUACCACUUCUUGACAAUCAUUUCAUUUGCCCUUGUUAUUGGAAUGGUGGUUCAGUUUGUUUGGUCCAACUUCUCAAGGUCUUCUGAAAUACCCCGGGUUAAGUUGCCAGAGGACCUGUUUGUGAACAUUGCUGUUGCCAUCGGUGCCCAAGUAAACAAGUUCCUUGGUUUCCUUCAAGAUGUGUCUUGUGAAAGAAACUUGAAGCAUUUUGUAUUGGCAAUUGUUGGAUUGUGGGCUGCUUCUGUAGCUGGGAGCUGGUUCAACUUCCUGACUGUCAUUUACAUUGGGUUUGUCUGCGCGCACACGCUCCCUGUGCUGUACGAGAAGUACGAGGACCAGGUCGACGACUUCCUCUACAGCAUCCUGGGCCUGCUCCGAGAGCAGUACCAGAAACUCGACAGCGGCGUCCUGAGCAGGAUACCCUCCAAGAGGAACAAGAAGAGCGAGUAG
rnacentral:rRNA from 1 species